AGUUUGCAGGCGAGGGAGAAGUCAUGUGGUACAGGCGGAGUCAGGGGGUUGGAGGCCCUCCCCGUCCCUGGCCGGUAGGAAACCCAGGCUUGGCUUCACUCCACUUCCUCCGGCGGCCGCCUCCGAAGCGAGCCCGCGCAAACGGCGCCCCGCGGAGUCCCAGCCCCGCGCCUAAGUUUAGCCCGAAGUCAGUCCCACUGAGCUCAGCAAAGGAACUUGACUCAUAUGCAAGCGGACGUGGCCUAUCAUGGGUCAGACACCACCACAAGGAACUGGUUUGUCCACACCUAAGAAAGAAGGAGAAGAGAAGAGACGAAGAGUUUGGAUUUGAUAUCCCGCUUUAUCACUAUCCUAAGGAGUCUCAAAGUGGCUAACAUUCUCCUUUCCCUUCCUCCCCCCACAACAAACACUCUGUGAGGUGAGUGGGGCUGAGAGACUUCAGAGAAGUAUGACUAGCCCAAGGUCACCCAGCAGCUGCAUGUGGAGGAGUGGGGAAGCGAACCUGGUUCCCCAGAUUACGAGUCUACCCCUCUUAACCACUACACCACACACAUUCUUUAUAGGCCCAGGCAGGCUACACCACAUGGGAACACAGGUGGCUGGUAUUAACCAUUACCUCCCACUCUAGCUAUGCUUGGGGCCUGUGGAUACAUCAAAGCAUGUGAAACACAUAUGAGCUUAGGCAGGGGUCAUCUUGACCAUCAAUGCUACAAGCAGGGCUUCCAGAAGAGCUCAACUUUUCAGGUCAACACAGCACCUAAGAAGUUAAAUAUAUGAUAAUGAUGCUAAAGUUGAAGCUAGAAUCUUUUAAUUACAUCUCUGUUUUCACAUACAUUUUGGGUUCAGUUGGGCAAUCAGUUAUUAUACACAGGAAAACAGGUGUGAUGGAGUCUGAUAAUGCAAUUAACGCCAAUUGCAUGCCUUCCGUUAUACCUUUUAUACUACUUAUUUUUCUUUGGUGUUCCGAUUCAUGCCUGUAUGACAACGGUAUCCAGGUCUCUCCCGGUGCUUUAUCCCAUUAUAUUAUAUCUGCCAAAGAACAGACUUAAGAUUCCUACUCCCGUUAAUAAACGAACCUUUGAAUUCAAAGACCAUUGUGAUGUACUGACUUGCUCUACUCAUCGGCAUUUUUGCCUUGGGGUUGGGAGAUCAAAAGUCUUUCAUCCUCAGUCUUCAUGGCUCGUCAUCUACUGUAUUUAAAUGAUUUCAGUCCUUAAAAGACAACUUGUAGAUGAGAACAGAAACUUUGAUCUAAAGUGUUCGUCUUUAAUUUUUGAAAACUCUUGAAAAUGAAACAAGUGCUCAAAUCACCAGUGUGAAAGGGAAAAUAGAAAGCUUUUCUAUUGUGACUUCUAGGAACCUGAAGUUAAGCAGAAUCGGCAUUUACCUACGGUAAGCAGUUAACUGGCAGCCACAGACUUUUUUCUUUAUCUCAGAAGAUUAUCAAAGCAACCACCAACUUGUAGGACCUCACUCAUCUGUACUGUACUGCCCUUUGUACUUUCCAAGUGUCCUAACCUCAGAUGUCUCUUUGAGGAAGAAGGCAGUGGACAUGGAGGAAGAAUCAGAAGCUUGGAUUUGAUACAUGGAUUUUUGGGAGGUCAUGUGUGCUGUAAAACCAUAAAUUACGUUCUGCUGGAGAACAUACGAAGAACCCUACUGGACCAGAUCAAAGACCAUCCUGUUCUCACUAUGGCCAACUACCGUAGUUGCCUUUGGGAAGCCUGCAAGCAGGAACAUGAACACAACAGCACAUUCUCCACUUCUGUUUUUCAACAAAUGGUAUUCAGAGGCAUGCUGGAAGGAGUUCAUAGCUCUCGUGGCUAGUAGCCUUUGACAGCCUUAUGACGUGUCCAAUCCCUUUUUAAAGCAGUCUAAGUUUGUAGUCAUCACUACAUCUUGUGUAAGUGAAUACUGUAGUUUAAUUAUGUACUGAGUGAAGCCAUACCUCCUUCUGAAUCUUCCCACCUUUGGUUUCAUGGCUGACCCGUGGUUCUGGAAUUAUGAGAGAGGCAGAAAAGCUUCUCACUCUCCACUUUCUCUGUGCCAGGCAUAAUCUAAUACACCUUUUGUCACGUAUACAAUCUUACAUGUAAUCCUUCCUUCAAUAAAUUUUUUUAAAAAAAUUCCUUCUCAUCCAGCAUACAUUCCACCAAUCCCACUUCUCUUGGUAAGGUCAAGACUCUGGAUUGGGUGCUAUGAAGCCAGGGUCUUCGUGCAGUUCUUAAUCUCUUUCACUGCAAACCUAAUUAUAAUUACCUGGAAAUUGUCUUAAAUUAAUGGGACUGACUUCUGAAUGUAUGGGAAAGAAACUCAUAAAGAGACCUGGUAAUCAUAGUGUGAGAUUCUUUAAUGCAGAAUGUGUGGAACAAGGUGAUGUUAUCAAGAAUUAAGUAUCACCCUACUUUUCUGUUUACAUAUAAAUGGGCUCUAGGAUUUUAAAAAGGAAUCUGUUCAUUGAAUCAAAAGAGUGUGAGUUAAGGCACAUACAAAUUCACUCAUGCACCCAAAAGCAUGGAAAUUAUAAGUCAACAUCAUAUAUAUAUAUAUUCUAUUGUUUUUCAUAAAACAUGAAAACAGACUGACAGAAGGGAACAUGUUCAAAAUGUAAUGUCCCUCUCAAAGGUCAUUACUCAUUACAACCCAGAUAAUGACAAACUAGAGCAGUGCAGGCACAAGAUGAAAAUAUAAAUUAUGUCUCUGAACCAUAGUUUGCACUUUACAUUCCUGAAGCACUAUACCAAUAUUAACUAUUAUCUUCAAAGAACCCUUGAGAGAUAUAAUAGUACAUGUAUCUGUAUUUGUGACUGAAAUACAAGAGUGAAAACCAACUAUUCCAGAAACGGAAGGAGCCUACAUACUUGCUAGUCUUGGUUCAGAGUAGUUAACAAGUCCUUACAAACCACCCUUUUGAAAAAUGUAGGAAGAUUCUGUACCUGUUUGUGCUUAUUAACUAUAGGAAUGUGGAUCCUAUAUUCAAAGCAUGCUCACAAUCCGACAAUGAGGCAAGUCCUAUCAUUUUCGGCAUGGAAGUGAAUAUAUAUAGGAUAACAUAGUAUAUUAUAGUAUACAUUGCAUAUAAUAUAAAUAAAUAUAGCAUACACAUACAUGUUUUAAUGCUUGGAUCACAGUAGUUUUUAUGUUUGAACUGAGAUUUGGUCCUGAUGUUGUGGAAGCAGAAGAAGAUACAGGCAAGGGGUAGCCAACUUCUGUAUUCUCAAAAGGUACUUUGAUCUCCUAUAAAUUGUCUAGGGUCCAGUAGUGUGAUUUUCUAUUCAACUUGAUCUCUUUAUUGCUGAUCAAACUCUGUAAUAAAGGUAGAGCAGGUUAGCGGUAAGAAUAUAGUAGUUAUAGAACAUGUUUGCUCAUGCAUGGACAGGUUGUAACAAAACGAGAAAGGCGAAACAGCUGAAUGAGUACUGUCUCUUCAUCGGUAAAUAAAUUUAGGCAAGGACAAUACUUAAAUAGCAUGGUCAUGAAGCAGCACAGAUCCUUACAUUCCACCAUGCAGGUGGUGUGAACCAAGCCACAUGAGAUCCCAGCUAAUAUUGGGGGCGUUUUAUAUGGGGGGGGGGAGAUGCUCACAUCACUUCUUUGGCACAAUAUUUUUGAACGUGUGCACUAGGGAUUCAUUUCACUGGCAUAUCCAUGGUUUCACAGGCCACUUAGAGCCCUCAGUCUACCAAUUGUUCAUUUUUGCUGUACAUUUCAACAUGUGCAGCUUUUAUCAUACCAGCGUUUUACUUGGGACAGCUGAUCAGAUGCCAUUUUAGAACUGUGAUUUGCAACCAAGAGUUUGUCGACACAAAUUCCCAAAUGAUACUUCAAACUGUGCACAGAUCAUAAUUUGAUUGGUGCCAUAUGGAUACUUACACUUUUAUGUGCUUUCUGAGAAAAAAUGGACCUAUCAAUCCCAGCCUACUUGGAAGAAACUAAGAUAAAGAUGCUGCAUUCAGGUGUUUUAUUUUGUUUUGAAGUAUUGUUUGGACAAGUUUAUAUGAGAGUGCAUGCAUUUCCAAACUGUGGGAUUAUGGUCAGUAUUUACACAGACCUAAGACUUGUACUGUUACAUUUCAUGUGACCCAAAUUGGUACACUAUUUACACAUCUAUAAAGGCAGUCUACAACCUUAAGCAUAAUCCUAUAUAAUAAAGUCCAAGUGUCUCUGCGUCCAAGUUUUCCCGUGUGUCCCUCGGUUACUGCGCAUGGGCCCCAGGGACACAGGGAUUGGACAGCAGAGACUGCACGCAUGCGCGCUCUUUUCCCCCCUGCCUCCAACCGCUGCUCCCGGCUGGACACCGCCUCACUGCAGGGCACGUCAGGGAAGCGAGGGUGGAGGCCGGCGGAGGCCUCCUCACAACCCUCCCUGGCCCGUGAGAGGAGCGGCGGGAGG